CGAUUCAAGCGGUACAACCCUGGGCAGAAGUUGAACUUAAACUUCAUUGCCGACCCUCCUCCUCUACCAGAAGGGAUUACCGAGGAGAUGAUUGAAGAUUACGAGGGGGAGGACGCCGCCGAAGGCUCUGGAUCCGCCGAGGCUGCUGCUGGUGACGAAGCCUGAGGGCCUCCUUUGAUUUGCUUGUAAUAGUUAGUUUUUUUUUUUUAUUUGUAUGCACCGAACACCUUGAUGCCGAGGGCAUCUCUAAUUUAAAUGCGUAUUUUUCUCUACUUAUGUUUGUUCGAUCUGAUUUUGUUCAAUUGCCGAUUUUUCUUAUUGCCGUAUAGGAUUUAUGACGUUAUAAAGGUCACUUCGAAAUUGUCAAGUUCCGAC
rnacentral:lncRNA from 1 species